UGUAAAUAUUGUUCACAGUUGAGCCAAACAGAGGUCUGGAGUUAUACUUCUUUCUCCAAUUACAGGACUCCUGUGCCGCUGCUGGACAACUCCAAGCCUGAACUUCAAAUGGAUUAACUUUUCUUGUACUCCCCCAAUUAUGUAAAAUCAUGCAACAUUACAAUUUCCUUCGUUUCUAAAUAAUGACUUCCUUAUAUAUUUUCACCUAAAAUAUUGACUUGCUUUUUGGCUUUCUUGCAUCAUUUGCCUCGAUCACCUCCUUCACAUUUUCAGACUCCACAUCACACCGGCCGUGCAGCUCCCCGUCUCCCCAGAUCUCCAUUCUCCUGUUCCACGCUGCCUGGCUUCGUCUCCAGUCUUCCGCAUCCCUGUUAUCCUAGAACUUCUCUUUCUUGUCCUCCCACGUUGAGAUCACUGUCUCCAGAGCCUGUCUUUCUUUUCCUUGGAUAUGCCUUCGUUUUCCUGGAGUACAGUCUCAGGCCUGUCUUUCUUCGUGAUCUGAAAUUCCAAGCCGACAAGUCUAGGGGAUGGCCUUCUUUCCUCAUCUUUGGAACACGUGCCAGGCCUUCCUGGAAGGCUGCCGCCGGCUAGAGCCUGCGCAUGCGCAGUCCUCCCUUCCUGGCUCAGGGUCCCUCCCCUCCCACACAGCCUUCCGGUCGCGUGGGAACCUCCGCACCUGCCCAGGUGCGUGCCCCUGCACCGGGCCUCUGGCGGGCGGAGGGGAGGCCCAGGCGUCCCGUCCCGAUCAUCAGGGGUUGCCCGACAGGAGGCGGGAAGCUGACUCCUUACGGACGGGAGUGUGGGAAGCGGCGGGGCACACCGGCACCACGCGUAUCCUCCCAGCACCCUCUGCGCAGCCUAGGCGGGAUCCCGCGAGACCAGGCUCGCUUGGAACGAGUGCUUCCUGAGGACGUGCAGGCCCCUGAGUCGCCCUGAGGAAGGCGAUCAGAAUUGAUUCUCAGAAGAUUGGUGAAGGAAAAAGCUUUGAAGGGUGAUCUCUCUGGGCCAGGCUAGUGGCCACUAUUUGGAAAACAAUGGCUCUCUUCUCCCCGGCAGUUUCCAAGAUGAGAUCGUUUCUCACACAUUCCAAAGAUCACGUCAGUGCGAGAUGCUUCAGGCUGUGGCUCAGUCCUAUUAGGCAUCUUUCAUUUGCAAGGCUUUUGCAGGACACAGCACAAUUUCCUGUUUAUCAUCACCCUGGAUCCACACAGGAGCCCUGUAGUGACGGGACAAGUAACAUCACCACGAUUUUAGAGUGGGGAAACUGAGUCUCAAAUAGGUGGAAAUGGAGACCCAAGAUGGUUCAACUGGCCCUCAAACCUAGUGUUCUGGCUCCACAUUCAGUGCUCUUUUCACUUUGAGGCAAUAAAUCCAGGAAAAUAGAACAAGAACUAAGGGAAUCCGUGUUGCUCAAGGUCAGUCUGUCUAUCUUACGAGCACAGGCAGAGAAGGCACAAUGACUGGUGAGUUCUUCUCGUUGCAGUCACAUCAUUGGCCUAGCUGGUUGUGACAGUGAUUAGAAACACAAAAACCAGCUCUGAGAAGAAAUGCUUAAUCUGAGUUCAAAGGGAUGUUGGCUCUGGAAAUUCCAAGAAAGGCAGGUCCUCUGCAGUGGGGAGCACACGAGGCGGGUGCUGGGGAGGCGAGGAGCAUGGGAAGCCUGGGAAGCAGUGAACACACCCUUCUAGCACUAUUCCAAGGCACUCGUCCUGAACCAUGCAAGGAAGCAUUGCUGACUCUGCUGACUGAGAGGAGAGAAUGGCAGAGCUGGAAAACACUCUAGAAAUCAGUUCCCUCAACCUCUUCAUAAAGGAAGAAACUGGGCUUCAACAGGUCGUGCACUCAUCUGAUGUCCUACAGCUUGACAAAGCCAGGACUGGAACCAUGUCCCCUAAUUCCAAAUGCACUGCUUCUUAGCAGAGACUAAUUCAGCAUUAACCAAAUUAGAGUUCCAUAGAAUUCUAGCACCCUGUGAGAUGUGAAUAGAUACUCCUAAAAAUAAGUAAAUAAAUAAGAUAUGGGUUUCCACAUUCAAAAAAGUUUGGGAAAUGCAGAGUUAAUCACAUUUGAGAAGCUUUGUUUACUGCACAAAUUCUCAGAACCUAGAACAUGGUAAUAUGCCCUGUGUAUUCCUAAGAACAGUUGUAGAUAGUGUAUGUGAUUUCUCCACAUUUGUUUACCAUGAAACAUUUUUUUGAGGAAAACGUAUUACCAUAUGUCACAUGAUAUUAAAUUUCCACAGAGUAUAGUUUGGGAAAGCCACCUAAUAUUGUGAGAUGUUCUCAAUGGACUUUCGAGAAUUAAUUUGAGUAAGGUUUUUUCUUUAAUGCUUGAAAAAGACAGAAAAAAGGAAAUUGUUUCAGCUUCUGGCAGGACAACUCUUCCACAAAAGAACUAGAUUCCAUAAAACAUAAUUUUAUUGAAUUUCCAGGCUCAUAGAAAGAAAGGAAACAGUUCAAGGGAGUUCCCAACCUCUAAAAAGAAACCAUGAACUAAAACUUGAGCACCGAUCCAUAUACACAUGUACACACACACUUAGACACGUGGGAGAAAGGAAGGCAGCGUUUUACAUAUGUUUGUAUAUAAAAUGAACAUAAGGAAAAAUACCUAUAUCAGGACUGCAAUCAGGAGACUAAGGCAACAAAGACAAGCUGAACCUGAAACUAAAUUAAACUGAAUUAAAUUAUGGUCUGGGUGAAGAUGCUAAAGCGAUCCCAGGUAGCAUAUCUUGGCAUCUUAGCAAAAGCAAAAACACAUCUUCUAAGGAGAUAAACAUCUUCAAUGUAAGUUACAAAGCUCGAAUCAGGAUCACCCAACAUAAAGAAAUAAAUGAUCAUGAGUGACUCAUCAAAGAAAAAAGAUUUAGGCCCCCAAGAAUUUUAAAUACAAUGUUUAUAAGAUAAAAUUGUUAAAUAGUUAUGUAAGUAAUAUUUUUUAGAAAACGUAAAAGAAUGGCCUUCUGCUUCCAGGGAGAUGGAGUAGACGUACUCGUCCCUAUUCUACUCAUUAAUUACAACUAAAACCCUGGCCAUUAUACAACACAAACAUAGGAAGACUGUGAAAAGUGGACAGAAGAAGGCGGACUACCCAGGAAACUCAGGACUUAAGGAGAGGUAGUUGAUAAGCCCCUGGGUUUUCUUUUUGCCUCAUAUAUCCCAGAUUUGGAGCCAAAGAAUCUGGCAACCCAGAGACACCAAUGCGUAUGGGGCCGUGGUGCGGGGAGCUCCAACAAAAGCCUGGUCUCUCUAGCAAAAGGCCAGUAAAGGGACAGCCUAGCAAGACAAAAAACUUUUGUACAAUAACUGCCCUCUAAAUGCAACUGGAAAAAUCAUGGCCCCCCACACCAGCAGAGGCCAAGUGGGGAACCUGGACUUCCACCGUUCCACUGCUAUUAGGAGACACCCAACGCCCCACUAGGGUAGUGUCAGAGAAGGCUAAGUGGGGAGCCAGGACUUUUAUCCCAGCUAGCCAGUAACAAUUUCUCCACCCAUGGUAUCAGUAGAAACCACGUGGGGUCCUAGACUUCAGUCCACACCCAGCAGUAACAAAAUGCCACUCUAACUUCCCACUGGGAUGGUGUCAGAAAAGGCCUAGUUGAGAGUCAAGAUUUUCACCAUCACCCAGUGGUAGUGAGGCCACCACCACUAUGGUGUCAGUGAAGAUCACGUGGCAAGUCAGAACUCCACUCACUCCCAGCAGUAAUGAGAAGCCCCAUGUGGUAUCAAAGGAAGCUGGGUGGAGAAUCCAGUUCUGCUUCCACCCGUCAUUGACAAGGCAGCAUCCUUCCCUUCCCUACUCAAAUAGAACAUCUAAGUAGGAUCCAAAAUCUUAUAAUACUAAAAUGUCCAGAUUUCCAUUGAAAAGUACUCAUCAUACCAGGCACCGGGAUCUCAAACUGAAAAUGGAAAAUGAAAAAUCAAUUGAUACAUGCCCACACUGAGAUGACAGAGAUGUUAGAAUUACCUGGAAAUUAUUUUAAAGCAGUCUUUAUAAAAAUGUUUCGAUGAACAAAUGCAAACACACUUUGAACAAAUGAAAGUCUAAUGAAUGAACAAAAAGAAAGUCUGGCAAGGAAGUAGAAGAUAUAAAGAAGAACCAACUGGGAAUUUUAAAUGAAAAAUUUAACAACAAAAAUAAAAAGCUCAGUGGAUGGGAUCAACAGCAGAAUGAAAGGAACAAAGGAAAGAAUCAGUGAACUGCGAAAUAGAACAAUAGAAAUUACCCAAUCUGAACAAGGGAGAAAUAGACUGAAAAACAAUGAAGAGAGCCUCAUGGACCUGUGGGACUUAACAGUAAAUCUACCAUUCAUAUCAUCAGAGUCUUGGAAUAGGAGGAGAAAGAGGGUAAGGCUGGAAAAGUAUUCGAAGAAAUAAUGAGUGAGGGGCCAGCCCCACGGCCUGAGUGGUUAAGUUCACGCACUCUGUUUAGGUGGCCCAGGGUUUUGCUGGCUCAGAUCCUGGGCACAGACAUGGCACUGCUCAUCAGGCCAUGCUGAGGUGGUGUCCCACAUAGCACAAUUAGAAGGACCUACAACUACAAAAUGCAACUAUGUACUGGGGGCCUUUGGGGACAGGAAGAAGGAGAAAAAAAAAAAAGAAGACUGGCAACAGAUGUUAGCUCAGGUGCCAAUGUUUAAAAAAAAAAAAAAAGAAAGAAUGGGCGAAAAUGACAGGAGACAUAAACCCACAGAUUGAACAGGAUAAACCAAAAGAAAUCCAUGCCAAGGCACAGCAUAUUUAAACUUCUAAAAACUAAAAACAGAGGACAUAUUUUGAAAGCAGCCAGAAAAAAAUCACAUGAUGAGACAGGGGAGAAACCAUUAGAAUUACAGCAGACUUCUUAUCAGAAAUCAUGGAGGCCAAAAGAAAGUGGUCCAGCAUUUAACAAGUGCUGAAAGAGGAGCUGUCAAUCCAGAUCCUAUAGCCAGCAAAAAUAUCUUUCAUUAAUGAAGAAGAAUUUAAGGCAUUCUCAAACAAAGGAAAUGAAGGAAAACUGAGGCUUUGUCACCAGCAGACCUACCCUACAGGAAAGGCUAAAGGAAAUUCUCUAAACAGAAAGGAAAUGAUAAAAGAAGAAACCUUGACAUAUCAGGAAGGAGGAAAGAACACAGUAAACAAAAAUAUGGACAAAGCAACAAACUUUCCUUCUCCUCUUAAAUUUUUAAAUUGUGUUUGACAGUUGAAGCAAAAAUUAUAACACUGUCUGGUGUGGUUCUAAAUGUAUGUACAGAAAUACAUAAGACAAUUUUAUUAUAUAUGGGGAGGGUAAAAAGAUGUAAAGGGAGGUUAGAUUUCUGUCUUUCACUUCAACUAGUAAAAUGAUGACACCAGUAGACUGUGACAAUUUUAUAUAUAAAAUAUGAUACCUAGAACAAGUACUAAAAAGGCUAACCAAAGAGAUAAACUCAAAAACACUGUAUAUAAAUCUAAAUGGAAUUCUAAAUUAUGUUCAAAUAACCCACAGGAAGGAGAGGAAAAUAAUGCAGGGAAAUGAAAGACAGAAAAAAAUACAAAAAAAAAUAAAAUGACAAAUCCUAACAUAUCAAUAGGUACAUUAAAUAUAAAUGAUCUAAAUACAUCAAUUAAGACAGAAAUUGACAGAAUGGAUUUAAAAACAUGAUUCAACUAUGUGUAGUCUACAUGAAACUUACUUCAAAUAAAGCAAUAUAGGCAGGUUGAAAGUAAAAAAGAAAGGGAAAAUAUAUAUCAUACAAACAUUAAUCAAGGAAAGCAGAAGUGGCUGUAUUAGUAUCAGAUAAAGAAAACAUCAGAGCAAAGAAAAUUACCAGAGAUAAAGAGGGGCAUGAUAUAACGAUAAAAGAGUUUGAUCAACCAAGAAGACGUAACAGUCUUAAAUGUGUAUGCACCAAAUUUUACAAAAUGGAAAAUAUAUGAAGCAAAAGCUGAUCAACUAAAGAAGAAAUAGAUAAUCUGCAAUUAUAACAGGAGACUUCAACACCGCUCUCAACAAUUAAUAGAAUAACUGGACAGAAAAUCAGAAGGAUAUAGAAAACUCAACACCACCAUCAUUCAACACAAUCUAAUGAGCAUUUAUAGAACACUCCACCCAACAACAGCAGAUACACAAUGUUUUCAAGUGGCCACAGAACAUGUGUUAACAUAGAGCACAUCCUGGGCCAUAAAAAGGAACUUCAACAAAUGUAAAACAAUUGAAGUCAUACAGAGUGUGCUCUCCAACCACAAGGGAAUCAACCUGGAAAUCACUAACAGAAAAGUGGUAGGUAUAUCUCCAAGAAAAUUUCCACUUGGAGACUAAAGCACCCAUUUCUAAAUAAUCCAUGGGUAAAAGAGGAAGUCUCAAGGGAUUUUUUUUUAAUUACCUUGAAUGAAAAUACAAUGUGUCAGGAUUGGUGGGACACUGCUAAAGCAAUUUUGAAAGGGAAAUUUAUAGCACUAAGUGGAAAAUAUUAAAAAGAACAAAAGCCUCAAACUGUUCAUUUAAGCUCCCACCUGAAGCACCUAGAAAAAUAAGAAAGCAAAAUAAACCCAAAUCAAGCAGAAGGAAGGAAAUAAUGAAAGUAAAAGCAGAAAUCACUGAAAUGGAAAACAGAAAAGCAAUAGAGAAAGUAAAUGAAUCAAAGAGCUUGAAAAUAUCAAUAAAAUGGACAAACCUCUAACAAAAGAGACAAACAGAAAGGCACAACUAUUGUUGUACAAAAGCUUGUCCAAAAAUGUUCAUAGCAGAUUUAUUCAUGGAGUCAGUCUGGAUGUCCUUCCACAGGUGAAUGGUUAAACAAACUGUGGAGCAUCCGUAUCAGAAUCCUACUCAGCCAUGAAAGGGUGAACUGUUGAUACACACAACAGCCCGGAUGAAUUCCCAGAGAAUUAGAGAGUGCAAAAGACAAUCCCAAAGGUGAUAUAACAUAUGAUUGCAUUAUAUACAAUUCUUGAAAAUGACAAAAUUACAGAAAUGGAGGACAGAGUAGUGUCUUCCAGGGGCCAGGGAGGAGAGGAGGUGGAGGAAAGUGGGUGCAGCUAUGAAAGGGCAGCAAGAGCGAUCCUGUGGUGAUGGAAAUGAUCUGCACCUGGACAGUAUCAGUGUCGACAUCCUAUUGAGAUAUCAUUGUACUACGGUUUUGCAAGAGGUUAUCAUUGGAGGAAACUGGGGAUCUCUCUGUGUUAUUUCCUACAACUGCAUGUGAAUCUGCAAUUUUUCAAAAAUAAUUGAACUUAAACAAAUGAAUAGGAUAGAAUAAAGAAGAGACUAUAAAAUGAUCAAGAAUGUUUAAAAAUUAAAUGGAACUUUUAAAAGUUAUAUAAAAUUUCUGGGUAAGGCCAAAUAAUUUAACAUAAGCAUCUACUUUUGCUCUGUCUUUAAACACCAAAAUUUGUCCACUAAAGAGAAAGACGUGGAGAUUGUUGCUCGAGCUUUGCCUGGAGGGGCAAGGAGAGCAGAGGUGCUGAGACCAUGAGGUAAAGUCUUGUGAUUUAGAAUGUUUUGCUUUCAGAAUGGAUGUGUCCAUCUAGAAAGCAACCUCCUUUUGUUCCUGAGAAAAAGAAACACCAUGGAAGUGGGGAGCGUCUUCUUCUUUUUUAAACAGUUUAUUAGCAAGCAAAGUAGGAGAGUGAGUUCUAUUGUGCAAGUAAUAACUCACUCACAGUUGGACUCAUAACCUCUCAGAAAUGCUCUCGUAAGAUGUCAAGAACUUCUCUUCAUGUGUAUUCUCCUGUGGAAAGCUUAAUAUUUAUUCAAAGAGUCCCCAAAGAGCAUUAACAAGUCCAGGACUCACUAGUUGUGUGACCACAUAUUAGCUUGUGUGGUCCCUUAGUAGUUGUCACCUACCUGAGUCACUUUUCCCGCCUCUUGGAAUUUCCAAUUGAGUAAAAUGCCCCCACCUGCUUCUUGAGGACUAUGAUCAGGCAGGUCUCUAUUUCACAUUGAUAACAUUGACUUUCACAUUCCAUCCCAUUCUAUUCCAUUCUACAAUAUGAGUUAAUUUAUGACCCAAUUCCAAAUACUAUGAGAAAAAAAUUGCAUAUUCUUUAAGCUCAGUUUUUGAUAAAUUAUGUCUACUUGAAAUAAAAUCAUAGUAGAGGAGGUUUUGCUUAGAAAUAAUUUCUUUAAUUCUAAACAGAUUGUAAGGAAGUAUGGUCUGUGGGCAGAAUUUGCAGAGAUAAAUGACUACCAGGGGAGAAAGUCAUUUAGUGGCGGAUUCCUGGGAACUUGGAUCUGGAAAAGACUCUAAAGAACAUUUGGUCCAAUCAAAGACUUUUGUCUCCAGCAGUUGGAAUAGAUGGAUUUUUGGUAGGUUAAUGAACGCUUCAUCAUUUGCACAGUUCAAGACCACAUUAGACAGUUAUUUCACACCUGAGCAAGUGUACUUAGAAAUGUUUUCCUUGAGGAGAACCAGUUUCCCUCCUUAUAACUCCCAAACUUUGAUCCUAAUUCUGCCUUGUGCUAUAAGAUAGAAACAUCUCUCCCUUGCCUACACGACAGCCCUUUCAGUGUUUGCAGACAGCCAGUCCAUCUUCCCUAGUCUUCUUGGUUGCAGCUUAAAUAGUCUCUGUAUGAAAAGUCCCAGCAUAUACAGGCUGUUAUGACAAAAGAAACCUAACCACCAUAUGCUGCUUUGAAAAUACCCCUCGGAGAGGCAGGGUGCAGUUUCUAGGAGAGCAUGUUAUUGUCGAGUGUCAGAAAUUUGCAGUUGGUCUUGGCUCCUGCUGUUUCCAAAUGUGUGACCUUAGGGAAGUCCUCUACCUUCUAACUUCUUGUGCUGCCCUUGUAAUGUUUUGUUAUCAGAGUUAAGCUAAUUUUAUCAAAUGAGUUGGGUAGUGUUCCCUUUUUUUCUAUAAUCUGGAAGGGUUUGUGUAUGAGGUCUGUCUCAAGUGGUAAAGAAAAUAAAAUUCCAUAAAGUGACAAAUAACAUUUUGACAAAUUCCUAUCAAGAAAGAAGAUCUCCGUUCAAACUUACUUUAUACCAAUAUUAACCAAGAAUUGUUAGUCAAACCUCUCUUCUAGUUGAAAUAUUGUGAGUCCUUGUUAGGCACAGGUAAAAUACAAGGUAAUUAUGUGGAGGUUUUAAUGGGAAGAACCAAGAUGUAAGGAUAGAGUUUCCCAGCAUUUUUACCCAUCACCAAAUUUUAUAUACAUAUAUAUGCAUAUAUAUACACACACACACGCAUACAUAUAUAUACAUAUAUAAAUGCAACAAAGAUUGCCCAAUACAUACUCUUACUAUGUGCAAUACAUUAUGACAUUUUGUAUUCUAGUCUAGUCUCUUUAUAAAACAUUCCAGUUAUAACUGACUUAGUUGAUUUCAUGACAUAUUAAUGUGUCACCACAUAUAGUUUAAAAAAUUCUACUUUAGGGGUCUUGGGACUUGCUUCAGACCAUGCUAUGAAUUCUCUAUGUGACUUACGUUACCUAAUGUCUCUGUGUCUCGGCUUCCUGUAAAAUGCCACUGAGCUCACAGACUCGCUGUAAGUAUUAAACGAGAUAUAAGUUUUAAUAUUAUUUUGAAAGAAGCAUAAAGACUAAGAGAAGUAAGAAGUUUUUAUUCAGGGAUUAAUAUCAGAGCAAUCAGUGCUCCAGAAACUGGACUUUGCAUCAUAACACAAAAACUAGUGUAGGAAAACAACUUUAAAUAAUGAGUUUAAAAGGUUAAACAAACAUACAACUACCAUAUGACCCAGAAAUUGCACUCUUGGACAUUUAUCCAAGAGAAACAAAACUUACGUUCACACAGAAACCUGCACAGGGAUGCUCACAGCAGCUUGAUUUGUAGUAGCCUAGGACCAGAAUCAGCCCAACACCCUUCAGUGGGUGGACCAUUAAAGAAACUCUGAUGCAUCCAUAUCAUGGAAUACUGCGUAGCAAUAAAGAGGAACUAUUGUAUAUACAACAACUAGGAUAACUCUCCAGAGACUUAUGCUGGUGAAAAAAUCCAGUCCCAAAAGCUUGCAUACUAUGUGCUUCCAUUUAUGUGACAUUUUUGAAAUAACAUAAUUUAGAAAUGGGGGGCAGAUCAGUGGCUGCCAGGGCCUAGGAACAGGGUAGGGCUGGAGGAAUGGAGUCAGGGUGGUGAUAAAGGGGCAACAGGACAGGUCCUUGUGGUGAUGUGACUGCUCUGUGUCCUGGCUGUGAUUGUCGGUACACAAACUACACACUUGACACACUUGCAUAGAACUAAAUAGACACACGCAAAUACGAGGGCACAUAAGACGGGGCAAAUCUGCAUUAAGACCGGUGGUUAGAAUCAAUGUCGAUCCAUAGCCUGGUUGUGACUCUGUAGCCAAUAUCCUGGGUGUAACACCCGAGCCGAGAUCCUGGUUGUGACUCUGGAGUGUAGCUCUGCAAGAUGUGACCAAGAGGGAAGCUGCAUAAAGCGGAUAUGUGUUAUCGCUCUGUAUUAUUGCUUACAACUAGAUGUGCCUACAAUUAUCUCAAUAAAAAACACAGUUAAAGAAAGAUCAAGUGGCAGUCCUCUUCUCCAUAAAUGCUCCGCACACUCACACACACCCACACUCACACAGCCCUCUUCAAGUUAGGGGUAAACUCUCCCAGACUGUCACUUAGGCAGUCCUAAAGAGCGCAGGUUGAGAGUUCCUGUCCCUCCCAGCCCUCCUUACACCACCCCCUGUCCCUUGUAACGUGGUGGCUUGCUCCCUGCCCCCUUGUCCCUUUGACUGGAAACACCAUGUUUCUUGCCCACCAAACUCGUUAGUUACUCAUUAAAUAAAAUAAGCAAUCCAUUUGAAAAAACAAGGCAACUGGAGAGCAGCGUUUGUGGUCCAGUAUGUCAUAGGCCAUCCGGACAUCAAUGCGGCCGAGUGUAGGACACAGCUUUCCUUCUGUCUGGGUGCCGAGAAAUUCCUUCCAGGAUAGCGAAGGCGGGGUGUGUGCCAGGACACAGGCCAAGUGUUGUCAGAUGGCACGGGGCCUUGAGCUCUGCGAUGAGGAUUCCAUUUCAGAAAGGAGCAUUUUAGGAAAGUGUCCAGGAUGGCAUGGAGGGUGAGCAGAGAUAGUGGACAAGACCCCAGAACCCCCCAAGUGUGGCCCGAGCACCAGUGCUAGUCUGCUAGCUGCUGGUUUCCGUCGGUGAGAAAAUUAGUGCAGGAAUCGACAGUUCCGAUUUAGAAACCCGUCCUUCACCGCAGAUGGUCUGAGGGGCUUUGCUCUACAAGGCUGCCAGGGGUGCGGAGGGGAGGGGAGGUGGGCCCGGGUCAUCUAAGAGGGAAGACGAAGCUGAGCAUCAGAUUUGAAGAAGUGCUAAAACUCUGAAUUAGGACAUAACAUCACAAGCUAUCAUCAGAAUACUGGGAGGAAAAAGGAUUAACUUUAUCACUGGGAAAACAUUUCCCCCAAAAUUUCUGAGAAGAAAACCAGUAAGAGCUCAAGUCUUCUCUCCAUUCCAGACGGGGUUGCUAUUAUUUUUCAAGAGAACAUUAACUGAACAAGGAGUUUUUCAAAUAAACACUCAGUGAAGGAAGGAACAGGCAUUACUGAUUUUUUUCAGUCUUUUAUAUUUCAAAAAAGCCAUUAAAAGCUUUGGAUGCUUGAGAUAUUACAUAAAUUAUCCUAUUAUUGUGGCAAUGAAAGGAUUUCACACACAUCCAUUUACUUCUGAUUUGAUUUCCCUCCAUGAAAAGUCUUUGUUUUUGAAAAAUAUUUGUCAUGCUGCAGAUAUAGUUCACAUUAAUCAAGGAGUAUAUUUAAAAGGUAAGAUUUUAAGUGCCUUAUUAGAAGAGAAAAAAAUUGGCCUCACAUAGCUACUUAACAGUCUGCUUCUUUUCACAGUAUAUUUGCCAGCCCACCUAAAAUUAAUUGUCCUUAGAAACUCAUUUUAGAAAGCUGAUUUCACUCCACAGCUCACCAUUUGUGUGCCUUCUGCCAAAGAGCCUAUUUGGUAAGUGACAAAGAGUGGACAAACACUUGUUGGUUCCUCCUUGGUCGCAGACUCUACAGCUUGAAGGAGGGGCUAUAAGCAGUGUCCUGGAAUAGCUCUUACAGAAUGAAAUAUACGUGACUAGACCCCAGUAUUGUGCAGAGGUGGUACUUGACGUGUUACCCCUCUGUUGGAGAGUCCUCCAUACCUGCCCUCCGUACCUGCCUCUUUCCCACCAGCUCCCUCCCCGUCCCAUUCAGGUCCAUGUUCAGUGCCUCGGGGGAGGGCACAAAUGGGCUGUCCAGCAGAAAUCCAAGCUUUAGUUCCCAAAAGCCUAAGAGGAGAGGAUUGGGCAGGCAUAAAUAUAAAGAAGGAUGAUUUCUCUAAGACCAAGAGAGAAUUUCUCAAGGUUGGAAGGAGGAAAGAAGAAGGAGAGCAGGAUGCCCAUGAACAAAAAGAGAUGGCCAGACCCCAGGGAUAUGAGCUGUGUUGUAUGUCUAGGAAGACAAGACCACAGAUAGGCCAGGGAAGAUUUCCAUGCCCUAAGAAUGGCACCGAGCAGCAGAAAGUCAGAUCUAAAGGAGCCAUGGGCACAGGACUCUGAAUUAUCCAUGGCAAUAUGGGGACCAGCGAUCAUCCUCUCUCUACCAUCUCAACAUCUUGAAAUGGGGUAGGAUCUUGGAAUUGUGGAGCAACACCAGGAAGAUCAGUGAGGGGGGAGAGAACUCCAGGAAGAGCUGAUGGCAAGAUUUCCUGCCCACUCCCAGCAGACCAGAAGCCCAAAAUCAAGAAAUUGAGUUGAGUUAUAGAAUAAUAUAGAGUUACAUUUCUUGCUCAUUUGAGUUCAUGGAUUGAGAUCACCCACCACAAAUAAACACGUAGACACACAGUAUUUGUGUAUACCGAACAAUAUUGGUGCCACAUGACAGACCAUUACUUUGUUUCAUUACAAGGUAAGUGCAAUGUGCUACAUCAGUAAAGUAAUUGCCAUAGAUGUCCAAAUUCAAACUGUCUGUAAAAUGACUUGUAUUAAAGGCAUAGCAGCAUACGGAUGUCUAUGUCUGUCUAUGUACGUAUGUAGGAGAACAGGUGCUGAUGGGCUGGAGCAGGAGAGAUGUCUGGCAAAGAGAGAUCAAACUUUGAGUCCUUUGAUUCAGAGUUUGAAAGUACUCCAGACGAGAUACGGCUCUCUCCAGUUCUUCAUUCUGGGGGCCUAGUAAAUCCUUGUUCACAAAAAGUCAUUGGAACCAGAAUACCUUGAUUUGCACUACCAGAUUUGCCUGAGUCUCUCACAUUUACCAAUGGCAGAUUUUCUCUAACUAUUACAUUUUAGUCCUAAAUCAAUGUCUUUCCAAGUUGCUCUAGGAUGGGGUAGCAAACUAUUUUACAUACUUCACACCUGUCCAAACAUACCUGCAAAAUUAUAUCUUCCUCCACAAUACUAUGCUAUCCCCAACAUCAAGACACACUUGGAAACUCUAAAUAGACAAGUGAAAAUAUAAGUCGCAACAAAAACAAAAAGAAGAAUGGAAAGCAAUUGGAGACCUAACCUGUUUUCCUCCAGAGUUCUGAAUUCAUCAUAUGGGAAGUGGUCUUGAUCCAAGAGAAAAAACCAUAAGAUAAACAGAAAUUUUAAAUAAAAACCCCCAUUUUAAAUGAAGCUGUCAAGUCAAAGCAGACCUAAUGAGAAUCAGCAAGCCCAUUCAGCUCCUAUUAGCAAAAACGCAAAAAGAAACCAAAUCAGUCAGCGCCGGUGAGGUGAGAAAGAGGAGCAAAUUGAAAAGCACCUAAGUUUAGACAUAAAGCAAUUAAAGUCAAGAGACAUGGCUAAAUCUAUCACAAUAAGCCUUCAGCCCGUGAGCCUGUUUCUAAAAACUUGAAAGCCAAAUCAGAAACAAAAGUCCAACUUCAAUUAGAAAAUGGCAGAAUGAGGGUGAGGCAGUGGUCUUCACGCUCUCUUGCACCUCUGGCCCCAAGGCCCUGGACAUUGGCGGUCAGACCCAGAGCCCCAGCCCUGACACCCUAACUCCCUUUCUUCUCCUCGCCUGCCCACUUUCAUUGGUGACUUGACUUCUCCUGAUAGAAACAUCUUCUCUCCAAACAUCUGGACGUCUGAGUCUCACCAAGGCCACACAUACAUACGAAUGGAGCGGGUGUCUGCCAAGAGCUGGGAUGCAAGGAUGCCAGGAGAGAUCGCCACAGCUGCCACCACACACACACAUUCCACACCCAUGGCCUAAAAAUAUACCCUUUCCAAUCCUACAAAGUCUAGAGCUUCCCCCAUAGGACUACUUCUUUUGAGCGGAAAGAUUAUAUUCAGAAAAGCCUGCUUAAAGCAAACAUGUCUGAGGGGGUUAACGCAGAACAGAGUUAGCCUUCAUCUGCACCCUACCGGCGUAUAAGGUCAGGGCAAGGAACAGGUGGUGCUCUGACUGGGGAAAAAGGAGACGGGAUUCAGGAGGGAACCCCUGUUUGGAGCACGUUUGUUUUCAACAAUAAGGUGCCUGAGCACCUGAGGGAUGAAGGAGAGGUGAGAGGCCACAAGGCCUUCACUGUUCAAGAAGUGCACUUCUCUUUAGAGAAAGACUGUGCAGUAUUAGACACAGGCUUUGGAAUCAAAAGAUCUAGGUUAGAAUCCCAGCCCUGUUACUGUGGGACAGUCUGCUCACCUGUAAAAUGAAAAAAAAAAUCAAUAACUCGUAUGGUUUCAAGAACUCAAAGGGAAAUGGCUGGUAUCUGUUGAGCACUUACCUGCACCAGUUACACUGCCUGGAUCACAUCCGUGCUUCCCACACUUGAAUGUGCACAGGCCCCUCGGCAUCUUGCUAAAAUGCAGGCGAGCCCGUGGAGCUGGGGUGGGGCCUGAGAUUCUGCAUUUCUCACAAGCUCCCAGGCAGCUCUGCUGCUGCUACCGGUUUGCAGAUCAUACUUUGACACAAGGGCUUGUGUCACUGAAGCUCAGAGGGACCCUAGGAAGGUGGGCUGUUAUUACCCAUGCAAAGCUCACCCUCGAUGGGCUAAAAAGCACAAAUGCUGCCGUAAAGAUGAAGUUCUUUAAAAAGGAAAGAAUUAGGCUGGCUUGUCCAUAGCUUUUCCUUACCACUCAGUGUAGAGCCAAGGGCCAGUGUCCUCGGCAUCAUCUGGGGCUUGUUAGAAAUGCAGAAUCGCAGGCGUUGCUGGACCCACAGUCCACAUCCGCAUUGUAACAAGAUCCCAGGUGAGUCGCGUGAAUAGUAAAGUGUGAAAAGAGCAGGAUUAUAGGAUUAGUCUCCAUUUUUUAUUAGGUAUGCCUAUUACCACCAAGACAUUUUCUUUCUAUAGAGUCAAAUUUUAUGUGGAAUAAAGAAUUAUCAUUUUAAAUAACAAAGGGAAAUGAUGGAAUAAAUUCCCACCUCCCCCCUCACACAUGCGCCUAGUGGUAAAAAGUGAAAAAUGCCCUCCUUGUUGCAGCUCUUGUAAGAAUGGCUGAGCAGCACUGUUUCCUAAGGUCAGUAAUCUUGACCCAUGAAAAAGCAUCCUGACCAAAAAUUAAAAAUUAAUAAAAGCUUUCAAGAUAAUUUAAUUUCCUACAAAGUAACAAAUAUGUGGAAAGCUAGUAAACAAUUCUCUCACUCCAUUGAUGGUACUUGAAAUUUAUACUUGGGAAUUGCAUACAUUCCAUCCCACACACCUGCAGGCCUGCUCUCACUCAAGUAGAGAGUGUAGAAAAAAUUAGGAAGCUCAGACUCUGUGUUCAGGGUGUUUAUUUUCUCCAAGAUGUGGUAUAAUUUUCGAGGAACUAUUCAGAAGUGGAUGAAAAGGAAUAUAGUCAUAGAUCAGUUGAGGAAAGGAGUCUCUACUACAUGUCGGUGAGGUCUGGAAAUGACCACAGGGAGAGCCGUUUUUAGUGAAGGGGUAUGUGAUGGUGGCCACCCACAGGGUCCCGGGGUUGGUGGGGCCAACAGGUGCCUGAGCAGCCUCUGCCCCAGGGCCUCUCCAGUGAGGGAGAAAGGGAAUGCACGUCAGAGGCAAAGGGACAGAGCCUGUGCCGUGGUCUCUCCCAAGCAGGGAAGACUCUGGGGCUAUUAGUUCUAUUGUUAUUCUCAACAGAUGGGGCUCCAAAAAUACACUUAAGCUUUAUAAAGACAAUAAGGGGCUGAGAUUCAGACCAUAAUUCUAAGUGAGGAAAGCGUCUUCCCAAAUCUAUUGCCACCUACCCAAGGUCACCUGCCUUCCCUUACCUGGAAGUGCUGAUGCCAAGAGCAAAGAGAAGCAAACUGCACCCACCAACAUGCCGGGUUCUGGACAGACGCAUUUUUGGUCUUUGGACCAGGAGUGCCAGGCAGGAAAUGGGUGUGAGGUGCCAUCUUUGUUUGUUUCAACUCUCUCUCCACUUCCCCCUUUGAAAAACCACUGGAAGUUUGUGUGUGGGAAUCCAUAUGCAUUUUUUUAAUAUUUAUGCCCACACACUUAUAAUUAAUACUAUUUUGGUGGCCACUGGACACUUGCUGUGAAAGUGCCAUUUCUACACAUAAGAGGAGAACUGGGAAACGUUUCCAUACCACAGUGCAGUUCUCAGCACUUUUAAAUACCCUGUCAUAGCUGGUAUUAAAAUUGCCAAUCUGCAUUUAUGUUGAAUAUGGAAUGUAUAUUAAACUUUAAUUUUAAUAAGUAAUAGAAAUGGAACCAUGGCAGCCCGAAUCAUCACAGUUCUUGACUUUAAUGUGAGUCAAUGAAUUUUGAGACUAACUACGCACAAAGCGCAGGUGGCAGUAGGCGCUACAGGAGACCACGGAGGCGACCACGCCAAAGUCCUCUGGGGCCCUUCUCAGGAGUACUAGUCGCCUGAUCUUCAACUCUGCCACAAAGUGGAAGCUACUUAUGAUGGGGUAUGUCUAGACUGGGGAGAAAUGUGCACGUGCACAUCCACACAUGAUUUUCCAUAAAGGCAGAAGGUGACAGGUGUCAAAUGAACUCUGCCCAGUAAGAGUGCUCUGCAAAUCCGAAAAGGAGGAGAUAGCUGGGGCCAGUGCAGCCACAAGGCUCUUUGGAGGAGAGUAGAACUUGGUUUCAGCCUUAAAGGGCAGUGGGAUGUGAAGGUAGAAAGAAGGGAGGAGCACAUUCUGCGUGAGGGAAAGCAACGCUGCAGAGCAGCUAUUCCAAGGCACGUUUGGAGAGUGGUCAGGCAGCCAGGGGUGUGACAGUGAAGAGCCCAGACUCAGGAGCCAGACUGGGUUCCAGUCCUGACUCCACCACUUCCCAGCCAGUGAUCUGGGGCAAGUCAUUUUCCUGAGCUCUCAGCACCUCAUAGACAUUCAUGCCGAUUAGAUGAGCUGAGACUCGAAAGUGUUCAGACCAGGUGCACUGGAGGAGAGUGCUCCUGCAGGUGAGUUCUGGGAAACAGGUUUGAAAAGGCAAACUGGGGUCAGCUUGUGGAUGUCCUUGAGUGACUUGCUUUGAGCUUGUUCUGAAAAGCAAUAGGAAGCCACUGAGGGUUUUGAAUGGCAUAGAAGUCAGAGCAACACAGAGCAUCUUUCCUGAAGUGUUGAUGCAAAGGUUUAUUUUGUCUCCUUUCCUCCAAAUCUACCCUUGUAUAGGCAUCUUGAAAAACUCUCAUUUUCCUCUCUUACCAUAUCUUUUCAUUGCAGUUUUCACUCCUCUUUUGAUUUUUAUAAUUAUUUUGUUCAAAUUGUGAGAGUUUUGGGGCCAGCCCGAUGGUGCAGCGGUUAAGUUCAUACGUUCUGCUUCUUGGCGGCCCGGGCUUCACCAGUUCGAUCCCGGGUGCGGACAUGGCACCGCUUGGCCCGCCAUGCUGUGGUAGGCAUCCCACAUAUAAAGUAGAGGAAGAUGGGCACGGAUGUUAGCUCAAGGCCAGGCUUCCUCAGCAAAAAGAGGAGGACUGGCAGUAGUUAGCUCAGGGCUAAUCUUCCUCAAAAGAAAAUAAUAAUUGUGAGAGUUUUGCAUUCAUAUUGCUUUAAUGACCCUAUAAUUACUAAGCUAAACUAUCAGAAAGCCUGAAAAAUAAAGAUGGACCAUAACAAAGGACAUUUUCCCCCUCCUAAUUGCAAUUAAGAAGAACAUCUGCUUAAAGCAAGCAAGACUUACUGUAUUAAAUACCCAUUAUCAGAAAAAUAUUAGGUUCAUUGAGUUCAUAAUCUAUAAAUGUAAGAAUAAAGUGCCCCAGGGGUGUGUUCCAAAUGAGGCUAGAUUCGGAAAUACAGAGUUAAUCACCAUACCUAGUGUUAAAACGUCAGAUUUAUUAUAUUUAAUUAAGUAGCUCAAUGAUCUCUCCAACUCUGAUAAGUUGUCUUUAUAUCAAGUAUGGAAAUACGAUAUUAGCAGUCAAGGAAAACGCACAGUCUUCAAGUGGGACCAUUUUCCUCAUGAAUAAUUUUUGCCUUAUUUGAUCUAAAUUUUCUUCUCAACUAAACGCUGGUAGCCCAUGUUGGAUUCUCUGAUACUGGCCCCACAGCCUCCUCAGCCUCCUCUGACUACAGCCACAGCUGUGGGACAGGUCCUAGCCGGGAGCCACUCCCAUCUAAUGGCCCCUCUCCUCCAGCAUGCACCCGGUGUCUGGGGUGGUGUCAGCCCCACACAGGCACCAGAGGAACCUGCAGGGGUGUUAACACCCCGUGGGCAGCCCUCAACCUGUGGGGGCGAGGGUGAGCAAAUGCUUCUCCCGUUCUUCCCUCAGGCAGACAAUUCCCGUACUCAUGUUGCCAGCGGGUCCCGGGGCUUGAGCCUCAGCGCCCACAGUAGUGCUGGCUCAGGGAUGGUGCCCGCCAGGGCUUCCCCUCUUUCCCAUUUCUCUUCCAAGCUCACUGCCCACACGAGCCCCUGAACACACACUCUGCUUUCAGGGGCACCCUGACCACAACAGCCUGAAGACACAAAUCCAAAUACAGGGAAAGAGAAUCUAUUUUGGCAAAUUAAAGUGAUGUCAAAUAUCUAUAAAAAUCAAUAACCAUGGCCUAUCUUAUAGGAG
ensembl:lncRNA